AACGAACGCUGGCGGCAUGCCUAACACAUGCAAGUCGAACGAGACCUUCGGGUCUAGUGGCGCACGGGUGCGUAACGCGUGGGAACCUGCCCUUAGGUUCGGAAUAACUCCCCGAAGGGGGUGCUAAUGCCGGAUAAUGUCUUCGGACCCAAGAUUUAUCGCCUUUGUGUGGGCCCGCGGUGGAUUAGCUAGUUGGUAGGGUAAAAGCCUACCAAGGCGACGAUCCAUAGCUGGUCUGAGAGGCUGAUCAGCCACACUGGGAAUGAGACACGGCCCAGAAUCCUACGGGAGGCAGCAGUGGGGAAUAUAGGACAAUGGGCGAAAGCCUGAUCCAGCAAUGCCGCGUGAGUGAUGAAGGCCUUAGGGUUGUAAAGCUCUUUUACCCGGGAUGAUAAUGACAGUACCGGGAGAAUAAGCUCCGGCUAACUCCGUG
rnacentral:rRNA from 1 species